rnacentral:rRNA from 1 species
AUUGAACGCUGGCGGCAGGCCUAACACAUGCAAGUCGAACGGUAGUACAGAGAGCUUGCUCUCGGGUGACGAGUGGCGGACGGGUGAGUAAUGUCUGGGGAUCUGCCCGAUGGAGGGGGAUAACUACUGGAAACGGUAGCUAAUACCGCAUAACGUCGCAAGACCAAAGUGGGGGACCUUCGGGCCUCACACCAUCGGAUGAACCCAGAUGGGAUUAGCUAGUAGGUGGGGUAACGGCUCACCUAGGCGACGAUCCCUAGCUGGUCUGAGAGGAUGACCAGCCACACUGGAACUGAGACACGGUCCAGACUCCUACGGGAGGCAGCAGUGGGGAAUAUUGCACAAUGGGCGCAAGCCUGAUGCAGCCAUGCCGCGUGUAUGAAGAAGGCCUUCGGGUUGUAAAGUACUUUCAGCGGGGAGGAAGGCGAUGCGGUUAAUAACCGCGUCGAUUGACGUUACCCGCAGAAGAAGCACCGGCUAACUCCGUGCCAGCAGCCGCGGUAAUAC